AAGUCGUAACAAGGUCUCCGUUGGUGAACCAGCGGGAGGAUACAUUAAGAGUCAGUAACAACUCCCAACCCAUGUGAAUUUACCUACGUUGCCUCGGCUGGUCCUACCCUGUAGUUACCCUGUAGCGAGUUACCCUGUAACGACCUGCCCUGUACCUACUCUGUAGCCCGCCGGUGGACUUACAAACUCUGUUUUAAUGGAAAUCUGAGCGUAUUAUUUAAUAAAUAAAA
rnacentral:misc_RNA from 1 species